rnacentral:rRNA from 1 species
CCUACGGGAGGCAGCAGUGGGGAAUCUUCCGCAAUGGGCGAAAGCCUGACGGAGCAACGCCGCGUGAUCGAAUGAAGUCCUUCGUGUUGUAAAGAUCUGUUGACAGGGACGAAUAACCCAUGCGAAUAGUUUGGUGUAUGACUGUACCUGUUUAGAAAGCUCCGGCUAACUACGUGCCAGCAGCCGCGGGAAUACGUAGGGAGCAAGCGUUGUCCGGAAUUACUGGGCGUAAAGGGCGCGUAGGUGGGUGCGUAAGUCAGGUGUGAAAACUCGGGGCCCAAACUGGAGACUGAACUUGAAACUGGGUAUCUUGAGGGCAGGAGAGGAAAGCGGAA